UAUCUCCUACAGUGUCCGACAGUGUGCUGGGUGUUUCCUGAACCUGUAUUACCCCCGGGGGCUGAUGUCUGCCUUGGUGAGCAUGCCCGUUUUAUACGGGAAGCCUGAUUGGCAAGCCGUGCCCCCACUUGAACCGCCGGUUCAAGGACGAAAGCGUGCAUCGGCACAGGCGGGAGAUGC
rnacentral:other from 1 species